GACGAACGCUGGCGGCGUGCUUAACACAUGCAAGUCGAACGGAAAGGCCCCUUUGGGGGUACUCGAGUGGCGAACGGGGGCGUAACACGUGAGUAACCUGCCCUUGACUUCGGGAUAACUUCAGGUAACUGGGGCUAAUACCGGAUAGGAAUCCUUUCUGCAUGGUGGGGGUUGGAAAGCUUCGGCGGUUUUGGAUGGAUUUGCGGCGUAUCAGCUUGCUGGUGGGGUAGUGGCUUACCAAGGCUUUGACGGGUAGCCGGCCUGAGAGGGCGACCGGCCACACUGGGACUGAGAGACGGCCCAGAUACCUACGGGAGGCAGCAGGGGGGAAUAUUGCACGAGGGGCGGAAGCCGGAUGCAGCAAGGCCGCGGGCGGGAGGACGGUCUUAGGGUUGUAAACCGCUUUCAGCAGGGGCGAAGCUUGUGGUGACGGUACCUGCAGAAGAAGCACCGGCUAACUACGUG
rnacentral:rRNA from 1 species